rnacentral:piRNA from 2 species
UCUCGGAGCAGGAAACAGCAGACUGCUGU